ensembl:lncRNA
AUAAAUGCAUUAUAAAUUGAUUUAGAUUUUCAAUGGGUACAUUAUAUGUUUAAUGACUGCAGUAAAGGCUUUCCUUUUAACAAAUUUAGGUAUGAAAUAUUAAUGCAGCGCCACACAUCUGCUGUUUCUGCAGGUAGUGGAGUAUUGUCUGUGUCUCUCUGUGUUUCUAAAGGCCUCUAUCUAACCGGAUGACAUUUGCAUAUGCAGAACGUUCCAUGCCUGCGCUCGCUGCCGCGGUGUGCCGACACAUAGGAGAAUCCACCCUUGUCCCCACCCCCUUCCUUAAUAUGUAUGUGUUCUGAACGGUGCGUGGUUGCUGAUUAAUGCUGUCUGUCAAUUUCUUACAGAUCCGACAGUGCUGUGGAAGUUCCCUCAGGACUUUGGAGACCAGGAGGUCCUGCAGACAGUGCCUAAGUUCUGCUUCCCAUUUGACGUUGAAAGGUAGGACAUCCUUCAUGCUUCCGGGUAAAGAAGUUAAUAGACGUGUGAUUUGGGAAAAUGAGGAUGUUUGUUUAUCCAACACGCAUUCACACACGCACAAGAGGCUGUCGUAAAUGACUCACAGGGUGGAGCCGCACACCUCCUUUGCUUCUGCUUCUGUUUCUAAUGUCAGACCUUUCACUGAGAGGUCCGUAGAAAUAAAGCACCUUUAUAGAAAUUAAGAUCUCCGCCC